rnacentral:rRNA from 1 species
AUUGAACGCUGGCGGAAUGCUUUACACAUGCAAGUCGAGCGGCAGCGCGGGGCAACCUGGCGGCGAGCGGCGAACGGGUGAGUAAUGCAUCGGAACGUACCCAGUCGUGGGGGAUAACUGUCCGAAAGGACAGCUAAUACCGCAUACGUCCUGAGGGAGAAAGCGGGGGAUCGCAAGACCUCGCGCGAUUGGAGCGGCCGAUGCCGGAUUAGCUAGUUGGUAGGGUAAAGGCCUACCAAGGCGACGAUCCGUAGCUGGUCUGAGAGGGACGACCAGCCACACUGGAACUGAGACACGGUCCAGACUCCUACGGGAGGCAGCAGUGGGGAAUUUUGGACAAUGGGGGCAAUCCUGAUCCAGCCAUUCCGCGUGAGUGAAGAAGGCCUUCGGUUGUAAGCUCUUUCGGUCAGGAACGAAACGGUAGAGGGCGUAAUA